rnacentral:rRNA from 1 species
UACGGAGGGUGCAAGCGUUAUCCGGAUUCACUGGGUUUAAAGGGUGCGUAGGUGGGCAAGUAAGUCAGUGGUGAAAUCUCCGGGCUUAACCCGGAAACUGCCAUUGAUACUAUUUGUCUUGAAUACUGUGGAGGUCAGCGGAAUAUGUCAUGUAGCGGUGAAAUGCUUAGAUAUGACAUAGAACACCAGUGGCGAAGGCGAGUCUCUGGACAGUUACCGACGCUGAGGCACGAAGGUCAGGGGAGCAAACGGG